rnacentral:rRNA from 1 species
CGCGUAGGCGGUUCGCUAAGUUGGAUGUGAAAACUCUGGGCUCAACCCAGAGCCUGCAUCCAAAACUGGCGGGCUAGAGUUCUGGAGGGGGUAGCGGAAUUCCUGGUGUAGCGGUGAAAUGCGUAGAUAUCAGGAGGAACACCGGUGGCGAAGGCGGCUACCUGGACAGAAACUGACGCUGAGGCGCGAAAGUGGAGGGCAAC